rnacentral:lncRNA from 1 species
CAGAAAUCUUAAAAAAGUAACAAAAAUAUAAAAAGUGACACAAAUGUGAUGAACAAUAAAAAAAAAGUUAUACAUUUCUCUCCACAUCGACCAUUUUGAAAAACCAAGACCUGCUAGUUGCUCUUUCGAUACACCUCUCCACCUCUCCACCUCACAUUGUAUAGCUCUUCCAACAAUAUUUCCAUCCUCAUUGCCCUAAUACCUUGAAACUACUCGCAAGAAGCACUUGAAUUUCUACACUCUCUGCUGCCUUUAUUGAUGGAGAAGGGCUUCAAGCAGGAACCAUGACAACUUGCCAUAUCCCCUUACCUUCCACUAUAUAUUGCCAAACAACAAAACCUGGAAAAGCUAACCUUAAAUACCAAACUGUCCAAUUGAAAAGAAUAAGUUUUCGAUCAGGAGCAUAUAAAUCACACAUUUAAAUUAUUUGUGCUAAGAUUUCUAUCUCCAAAACUAUCCAAUUGAAAGAAUAAGUUUUCGAUCAAAUACUAGCAAGUGAUUUUCUGGACCUUAAAUACCAAAAGUGAAAGCCUUUAACAGAGUUCCAUUCAGCAUAACAAAAGCAUCGAGUUUGGACAUAUUAUGGCAAUUAAAGAGAUUAACCAACCAAUUAGCUAAGAAUAAAUAACAAACAAAAGAAUUAUCGAACAUAUGCAAAUUACAGAUACAACAAUACCCAAUUCUUGUUCCAUGUAAACUUGGGGUCAGUUACAUGAAUUCGUUGCUGCCGUCGCUCAUUCAAUCCAAAACUACCUCUUAUGAAAUGUCCAAUGAAAUUAAUCUGUCUCAUAUGUGCCAAAAAUAAAAAUCUGGUUCCUUAAUGACUGAAAGUGGAAUAUUUAGUCAAAUUCCUUAUAAAGUUCUGAAAAAAUUCUUUCCUUCUUCUUCGAAGAGCUUCUUCAUCAAUAAUUAUUUUUAUCUUCAACCCAUUGUCUCCAGCUAUUGUAGAAUUCAGAGUCAAAGUUUUUGAUUUCGGAGUAUGAAUCAAGUGCGGGUUUUUGCGACUAGCGAUUUUUUUAUGACUCGAUUUUUUAGAGAUCCUUGAAGAGGAAACGGAGGAAGACAAUGGAGCUGUGGGGAUGACAGAGAUGAAGGUUUUUUUUUUUUUUUUUUUUUUUUUUUUUUUUACAAGGUGUCCGGGCUUGCGUCCGACUAGAUCCUUGUCCCUAAACCUCCGGCCCCUCAGCAGCUCAGGGAGGUAAAUCGCAGGAUGUGCCCUUGUUGGCUCCCAGGUUCCCACAACUCAUUUGGACUCCUUCCGCAAAGAGAGCUCUCCUCGCUGGGCGUUUGUUCAACCAAAUGGCUUCCCCUCCAUUUUAGCACCCAGUGUUAACUCCAGGAAUCGAACUCUCCACCCUUGCUUCCAGCGUCCCAGCGAAGUGAUUGUUCCACCAACUCGGAUGUGCCCUGGGGGGCGACAGAGAUGAAGGUUUUGAAAUGAGAGAUGUAGGAGAGAGAGAUGAGUCUAUGUAAUGAACAGCUUGGAAAAGGGUUGAGGUUUGGGGAUUUUAGUAAAG